rnacentral:rRNA from 1 species
UGGGGAAUAUUGGACAAUGGGCGAAAGCCUGAUCCAGCCAUGCCGCGUGUGUGAAGAAGGUCUUCGGAUUGUAAAGCACUUUAAGUUGGGAGGAAGGGCAGUAAGCGAAUACCUUGCUGUUUUGACGUUACCGACAGAAUAAGCACCGGCUAACUCUGUGCCAGCAGCCGCGGUAAUACAGAGGGUGCAAGCGUUAAUCGGAAUUACUGGGCGUAAAGCGCGCGUAGGUGGUUCGUUAAGUUGAAUGUGAAAGCCCCGGGCUCAACCUGGGAACUGCAUCCAAAACUGGCGAGCUAGAGUAGGGCAGAGGGUGGUGGGAUUUCCUGUGUAGCGGUGAAAUGCGUAGAUAUAGGAAGGAACACCAGUGGCGAAGGCGACCACCUGGGCUCAUACUGACACUGAGGUGCGAAAGCGUGGGGAGCAAACAGG